GUUACCAAAAACAUCGCCUCUUGUUAAACCAAAAGUAUAAGAGGUCCCGCCUGCCCUGUGACUAUAUGUUUAACGGCCGCGGUAUUUUGACCGUGCGAAGGUAGCGCAAUCACUUGUCUUUUAAAUGGGGACCUGUAUGAAUGGCAUAACGAGGGCUUAACUGUCUCCUUUUUCAAGUCAGUGAAAUUGAUCUCCCCGUGCAGAAGCGGGGAUAGGCACAUAAGACGAGAAGACCCUGUGGAGCUUCAGACACUAAAGCAGAUCAGUAUUAAUACCCUGAACAUAAGGCACGAAUAAGAUGAUUCCUGCCCUAAUGUCUUCGGUUGGGGCGACCGCGGAGAAAUAUAUAACCCCCGCAAGGACUGAAUGUACUACAUUCACAACCAAGAGUGACAACUCUAAUUAACAGAACUUCUGACCAAUAAGAUCCGGCAAUGCCGAUUAAUGAACCAAGUUACCCCAGGGAUAACAGCGCAAUCUCCUCUUAGAGUCCAUAUCGACGAGGAGGUUUACGACCUCGAUGUUGGAUCAGGACAUCCUAAUGGUGCAACCGCUAUUAAGGGUUCGUUUGUGCAACGAUUAAAGUCCUACGUGAUCUGAGUUCA
rnacentral:rRNA from 1 species